ACCUCUCGGCAAUGGAUAUCUCGGCUCUCGCAUCGAUGAAGAACGUAACAAAAUGCAAUACUUGGUGUGAAUUGCAAAAACCCGUGAACCACCAAGUCUUUGAACGCAAGUUGCGCCCUAGGCCAUCAGGCUAAGGGCACGCAUGCCUAGGCGUCA